rnacentral:sRNA from 1 species
GCCGGGCAGGGUGGCUCAUGCCUGUAAUCCCAGCACUUUGGGAGGCUGAGGCAAGCAGAUCACUUGAGUCCAGGAGUUCGAGACCAGCCUGGCAAACAUGGCGAAACGCCGUCUCUACUAAAAAUACAAAAAUUAGCUGGGCAUAGUGGCGGGCACCUGUAAUCCCAGCUACUUGGGAGGCUGAGGCCAGAAGAAUUGCUUGAACCCAGGUGGCAGAGGUUGCAGUGAGCCAAGCUUGCGCCACUGUAUUCCAGCCUGGGCAACAGAGUGAAUCUUUGUCUCA